AACAUAUUUGGUAAGUUUAUAUUAAUUUUCAAUAUUUACUUGUUGUUCCUUUUAUACAAUAGAUUUCCUUUUAUACAAAUACAAUAGAUUAAUCUUAGUUCAUUUUAUACAAUAUAUUAAUCUUGUUCCUUUUAUACAAAACAUUAAUUCUUUAUACAAAAAUAUUUGUAAUGGAUUACAACAUGUUUGAUGAAAUGCCCAUGUCAACACCUUUAUCUUCUGAUGGAACCAUCAUCUCAAAUGAAAUGCUCCAUGAUCCUUGGCACAACCUUUUGCUUAGGUUAACAUCAACAUCCCUUCAAAAUGGGUUAUCUAGUUAGCAACUAGAGAUUGAAAAACUAUUUAGUAAUGGGAACUUUAAUAAUAUACUGUUAACACUAUGCUUAAUAAUAUCACAAGAUACAUUUUAUCCUAUACAUUAAUCAUGUGGAGGACACGAUCACAAUGAAUUUGCUUUACAGCUUCACAAAUAAAAAAGGACAUGACUGAGUGUGACUGGUAUGUGCCAGACCUAUUAGUCCACAUUGCAAAAAUUACGCUACGCUGCCUCCUCAUAACUUGACCAACGUCCUACUAAAGCAUUAGCAUUAGCAUUAGCAUUCAUUUUUUAUUUAUUUAUAUAUUAUUAUUAUUUCCUCGGUUUAUUUUUAUUUUUAAAGCAAACUAAUUUCCCUUGACAUCGGGUUCCCCAAGCUUCCUUCCUCUUAUUAGUGAGAAAAACAGUUUGAUAAUAUAAUACAAGGGUAGCAUAUUUCUUGCAUCGUUUUGUAUGCACAACUGACAAAAACUGGUUUAUCUCAGUAGGGAAAUCUCUUCGAGCUUCAGCAAACUUGGUAUUUUUAAUAUUAAGGAUUGGCUUAGGGAUUUUUUUUUGCUAUUGUAAACUUGUGAUCGUGGAAAUCGUUGAGAUACUCUUUAGACUACAUGCUGUCAAAUUAAGUAAGAAGAGUAAUCAAUGAGGACCAUUUUGCAAAAUAUGUUGCAUAACCAUGCACAAGAAUAUAUAACUCACCCAACUGAAACAGCGUCUACCGCAAUUUCUGGAUUAUUCAAAAUGCCCACUAGAAGAAUCAAUGCUGCGUAGUAACACCUCCAAGCUGUUAGAAAAACAUCUCUGUGUAAGCAGAAAGAUCUGGGAUGUCGAAUAUCUAAUCGUACGUUGAUUUGUACAACUUGCACUGAAAAAGAGGCAUAAAUAAAUAAAUACAUUUCCCCCACUACCUAGCCGAGAAAUGAAAAAGAAGAAAGGUAUUUUCAACUAUAACGGCAUAAAUGAUUGAGUGACUUAGAUAUGGAGUGGUUCAAUUUUGUAACGGGGCUGACUGUAAAGGGCAUUGGCUAGGGUGUAUCGGUGUCUAUUGUAUUGUACUGUGAUGUUUCUUUUUUUGUGUGUGCAGCAAGGUCUAGUGCUUAGUUAUUUGCUAAGCCACCCAAACUUUAAACAUGGUUGUAACUUCUUUGAUGAGUGAAUGGCAUAUCUUUUUACUAAUCAAAUAAAAAAAAAUUACAAUAAAAAAGAUCAAUUCACGGCGAGUUAGUUUAAGAUGCUUCAAAUCAUAAAUAUUAACAAAGUUUUGGUACAUAAUCCUCUUCUUCCACAAGAAAAAAAGAGAUCCCAAUGCAUCGAUUGUGGCUCAAGUGGAUAAAAUUCAUGAGUGGAGACUGCAGAAUGGUGGUAAGCCCAAUUUUUUUAUCAGGGUUGUUAAACAGAACAACACUCCAUAUACUUCCUCUCCUCAGGAUACCAUUAUAACAAGUUACCAAAAGCCUUAUGACUCUCAUAAGCAUGGACAAAACUGUAGCUAUAUCAACAGCCCUCUAAGGUCUCCCACUAAGGAUACAAGACUGGACAUCAAUAUAAGAACAGUACUCAAAGAGAUUUUGGUACUCAUAAUAUGCUAGGUCCCAAAGGUUGAUGCUACUUUACUUUGUUUGCUUGCUCGAACUAAAUUCUUUAUUUUAAGAUGAAUAUCCUAGAAUUUGAUUUUUCAACGCAAGGCUAAUGAUGAUUAAGGGUUAAGGUAAUUGAGACUCAACUAAAUGGACGUGCUUAAAAUUGGUGAAAUGGUACUCAGGAAUCCAAAGAGAUUCAAGCAAACUGCUGAUUGGUAAGGGAUUUGAACUAUUGUAGAUCAUCUUAACGUCCAUUACAAUUAAUAUAUAUAUAUAUAUAUCUUCUUACCUUAACAUGAGGCAAAUCAUCAACAGUUAAGAUGAUAGAUCUGAAAUAGCAUGUACCCUGGACAUCCAAUAUAAAAGAAAACGAUAUGUGUAAGCUUUACUUCAAAAUACAUAAGAAUGUAGUCAUAUAUGAAGGUAAUGAAAUAAACUCAAAGGGAAAUACAUAAUACUGUACCAUAUAGAUAGUAUUUUGGAUCGAAACAGCAGAUUUUUUUUCUGGUGUCUGAGUGCAGCAGAGACCCAUAAAUUUAUUUAGAUUCAAGUCUUAUGCCCGUCCCGAACUUCUUUUUCUCAAUAGAAGACAUAGACACUAGACAGACAGAUUAUAAGAUGAAAUGGAUGGUAAGUCUAUCUAAACAUUGAAAGAAACUUGCAAUACUAAUAAAGAACCUAUAAAGCAAUUGAACAAAUAAGAGCACAAAAAGGCUGGAAGAAGAAGUUGUAAAAUAAGAAUGAAUACAAAACUUAAUUCUUAAUUCUUGACUGCAAUUGAAAAGAUAAGUCUAUCCCAAUUGAAAAUUCUCCCUUGAUUUAUCUUUUUACAGAGAUUAAUUCCUGAUUCUUCUUUGUCUGCAAGCCUAGAUCAGAUCUAUAAUUUCAAAACAUUAAUUAAUAAAAACUACAACCUCACCAUUCUGUCGACGAAUCGAUUAAUCUGAAAAUUGAAUUAAAAUCGUGUUUCUUGAGAUCGCUCGAAAUUGGCAAGAGUUCUUUCACAAUUCGGCUUCGGGGAUGAACUUGUUUGUUUGUUUUUUUUUUUUUUCUUUUUCUUUUUGUGUGAAGGAAAAAAUGAAGUUGCGAAAACAGAGUAAAAAGUCCAAGGCCUCCAAAAUAGGUUGUUUGUUACUGAGUACUGACACACAAGACCACUUGUCGUCUAAACUCUAAAUGGGUUUUAGA
rnacentral:lncRNA from 1 species